rnacentral:misc_RNA from 1 species
AACGCACCUUGCGCCCCUUGGCUAUUCCGAGGGGCAUGCCUGUUUGAGUAUCAUGAACACCUCAACUCUCAUGGUUCGCCGUGAUGAGCUUGGACUCUGGGGGUUUUGCUGGCCUGUGGUCGGCUCCUCUCAAAUGAAUCAGCCUCCCAGUGUUUGGCGGCAUCACGGGUGUGAUAAAUAUCUACGCUCGCUGUUGUCUGCCAGGUAACCUUUGGUCACAAAGGUUUGCUGGAGCUCACAGAUGUCUCUCCUCAGCGAAGACAGCUUUUUUAACGUUCGAUCUCAAAUCAGGUAGGACUACCCGCUGAACUUAA